UUUUUCUUAUUUUUCAAUUUUUGGCUAGCAAAAAAUAACAUUUUUUUUUUUAUUGGAAUUAAGGCCAACUUCAAACGUCGUCUAUCUCGCUAUUUUACUAGGAAAGUGAGAAGAAAAUUGGUAUCUCUCAAAAGGAAGUAGCUAAUGAUUUGAAGACAUACAGAAGCCACAUGACUAGUAAGUACAGAGAGCAUCUACAAAGAGCAAGACUGGCGUUGUACAAUUAUAUGAAACCUCUAGGCUACACAGUUGUUCAGUUAAUAUAUUUCUUAAUGAAUUCAAUAAUUUGCUUUUAAAUAUAAAUUCUUAUAAUUUGAUAAUUGUUGGUGACUUUAAUUUAGACUCUUUAAGCAAUACAGAAAAUAUUGAUUAUUAUCUUUCAAUUUUAGUCGAUAACGGACUGUUUUCUUUUGUUAAUGAACCUAUGUACUAGAAUUAGUUCUGGGUCUUGUUUAGAACAUAUUCAUGCUCGUUUUGGUGUUAUUCCUUUGGAGAUGAAAAAGGUGUGUUUAAUUUACAGAUAACUGCAUGACUGGACUACUUGUUAAGUCUUUAAAGGUUGAGAAAACAAAUAAUACACCUAUUACUGCUUCCAUUACAAAAAUAGAUUAUAAUAGACUAAAUAACAUGCUUCUGUAUGAAUUUUGGGAUGCUGUUUACAAUGAAUCAAAUGCUAGUUCGGCAUAAAAUAAAUUCAUUGAAAUUUUUAGCAGCUAUAUUUCCCAAUGUACAUUUAGCGUUAGACCAAGUGUGAAAAAUAAAAAGUUAAAACUGUGGAUGAAUGAUGUCUUGUUGAGAAAAGUGAAAAUGAAAAACAAAUUAAGAGUCAAGUUAUAUAAGCACCAUUCUUAUGGAAAUUGAAAAAGCGUUAUAAUAAGCUGUUAGUAAGGUAAUAAAAAAGAUAUUGCGUAAUGCCGUGAUAGAUUUUAUCAUAAUGAAUUUAUCAGAUGUAAUGGUAACAUAAAGAACGAGUGGAGGCUAGUUAAUAACUCGCUCAACAAGAACUCGAGUAAUAAUAAGAAAUUGGAAUUGAUGAAUAAUGGACUAUUGAUAACAGAUGAGUUUCUAAUUGCUAAUGAGUUCAAUAAGCAUUUUUCUUCAGUUGCUGUAAAAUUGUCUUCUGGUCUGGGUUCUAAUUAUGAUUACAGUACAAUGGAAGUAAAUAGUGUGCGUAAUAGCUUUGUUUUUGAUGGCUUUUCCGUUCUUGAGCUUCUCCAAAUUAUUCGGUCUCUAAGUAAUUCAAACUCUGUAGGGAUUGAUAAUAUUUCCAAUAAAUUGUUGAAGGAAAUUGCUUUUAAUAUUAUAGAUGUUCUAGCUUAUAUUUUCAAUUUUAGUGUUCUUUCGGGCUUAUUUCCUGACCAGUUC